UCCUUGUCUUUCAUGACUUGGAAUAUUUCUUUCCAGCCCCUUCUUGCCUGGAAGGUUUCUUUUGAGAAAUCAGCUGACAGUCUUAAGGGAACUCCUUUGUGGGUAACUGACUCCUUUUCUCUUGCUGCUUCUAAGAUUCUCCUUAUUUUUAAUCUUG